GGACCUUAACCCGCUAAAUAGCCAGGCCGGCUUUUGCUGGUCGCCGGCUUUUUAGAGGGACUAUCAGCGUCUAGCCGAUGGAAGUUUGAGGCAAUAACAGGUCUGUGAUGCCCUUAGAUGUUUUGGGCCGCACGCGCGCUACACUGACAGAGCCAGCGAGUUUUUUUCCUUGGCGGAAGGUCUGGGUAAUCUUGUGAAACUCUGUCGUGCUGGGGAUAGAGCAUUCAAUUAUUGCUUUCAACGAGGAAUUCCUAGUAAGCGUGAGUCAUCAGCUCGCGUGAUACGUCUGCCCUUU
rnacentral:rRNA from 1 species